UACGUAGGGUGCGAGCGUUGUCCGGAAUUAUUGGGCGUAAAGAGCUUGUAGGCGGUUUGUCGCGUCUGCUGUGAAAAUCCGGGGCUCAACCCCGGACUUGCAGUGGGUACGGGCAGACUAGAGUGUGGUAGGGGAGACUGGAAUUCCUGGUGUAGCGGUGAAAUGCGCAGAUAUCAGGAGGAACACCGAUGGCGAAGGCGGGUCUCUGGGCCGAUACUGACGCUGAGGAGCGAAAGCGUGGGGAGCGAACAGG
rnacentral:rRNA from 1 species